UGGCAGUCAGAGGCGAUGAAGGGCGUGCUAAUCUGCGAUAAGCGCCGGUAAGGUGAUAUGAACCGUUAUAACCGGCGAUACCCGAAUGGGGAAACCCAGUGUGAUUCGUCACACUAUCAUUAACUGAAUCCAUAGGUUAAUGAGGCGAACCGGGGGAACUGAAACAUCUAAGUACCCCGAGGAAAAGAAAUCAACCGAGAUUCCCCCAGUAGCGGCGAGCGAACGGGGAGGAGCCCAGAGCCUGAAUCAGCAUGUGUGUUAGUGGAAGCGUCUGGAAAGGCGCGCGAUACAGGGUGACAGCCCCGUACACAAAAGCGCAUGUGCUGUGAGCUCGAUGAGUAGGGCGGGACACGUGGUAUCCUGUCUGAAUAUGGGGGGACCAUCCUCCAAGGCUAAAUACUCCUGACUGACCGAUAGUGAACCAGUACCGUGAGGGAAAGGCGAAAAGAACCCCGGCGAGGGGAGUGAAAAAGAACCUGAAACCGUGUACGUACAAGCAGUGGGAGCACNGUGUGACUGCGUACCUUUUGUAUAAUGGGUCAGCGACUUAUAUUCUGUAGCAAGGUUAACCGUAUAGGGGAGCCGGAGGGAAACCGAGUCUUAACCGGGCGUUAAGUUGCAGGGUAUAGACCCGAAACCCGGUGAUCUAGCCAUGGGCAGGUUGAAGGUUGGGUAACACUAACUGGAGGACCGAACCGACUAAUGUUGAAAAAUUAGCGGAUGACCUGUGGCUGGGGGUGAAAGGCCAAUCAAACCGGGAGAUAGCUGGUUCUCCCCGAAAGCUAUUUAGGUAGCGCCUCGUGAAUUCAUCUCCGGGGGUAGAGCACUGUUUCGGCUAGGGGGCCAUCCCGGCUUACCAACCCGAUGCAAACUGCGAAUACCGGAGAAUGUUAUCACGGGAGACACACGGCGGGUGCUAACGUCCGUCGUGAAGAGGGAAACAACCCAGACCGCCAGCUAAGGUCCCAAAGUCAUGGUUAAGUGGGAAACGAUGUGGGAAGGCCCAGACAGCCAGGAUGUUGGCUUAGAAGCAGCCAUCAUUUAAAGAAAGCGUAAUAGCUCACUGGUCGAGUCGGCCUGCGCGGAAGAUGUAACGGGGCUAAACCAUGCACCGAAGCUGCGGCAGCGAACGUAUCACCCAAGACAACUUUACGGAGUUGACGAUUGACGGAGCGAAGCGACGUCAAAGCGUUCAUUAAAGUCGAGUUGGCUUAGGGAUACGUUCGUUGGGUAGGGGAGCGUUCUGUAAGCCUGUGAAGGUGUGUCGUGAGGCAUGCUGGAGGUAUCAGAAGUGCGAAUGCUGACAUAAGUAACGAUAAAGCGGGUGAAAAGCCCGCUCGCCGGAAGACCAAGGGUUCCUGUCCAACGUUAAUCGGGGCAGGGUGAGUCGACCCCUAAGGCGAGGCCGAAAGGCGUAGUCGAUGGGAAACGGGUUAAUAUUCCCGUACUUGGUGUUACUGCGAAGGGGGGACGGAGAAGGCUAUGUUGGCCGGGCGACGGUUGUCCCGGUUUAAGCGUGUAGGUGUGUGUUCCAGGUAAAUCCGGUUCACUUUAACACUGAGGCGUGACGACGAGGCACUACGGUGCUGAAGCAACAAAUGCCCUGCUUCCAGGAAAAGCCUCUAAGCAUCAGGUAACACGAAAUCGUACCCCAAACCGACACAGGUGGUCAGGUAGAGAAUACCAAGGCGCUUGAGAGAACUCGGGUGAAGGAACUAGGCAAAAUGGUGCCGUAACUUCGGGAGAAGGCACGCUGACACGUAGGUGAAGUGAUUUACUCAUGGAGCUGAAGUCAGUCGAAGAUACCAGCUGGCUGCAACUGUUUAUUAAAAACACAGCACUGUGCAAACACGAAAGUGGACGUAUACGGUGUGACGCCUGCCCGGUGCCGGAAGGUUAAUUGAUGGGGUCAGCGCAAGCGAAGCUCCUGAUCGAAGCCCCGGUAAACGGCGGCCGUAACUAUAACGGUCCUAAGGUAGCGAAAUUCCUUGUCGGGUAAGUUCCGACCUGCACGAAUGGCGUAAUGAUGGCCAGGCUGUCUCCACCCGAGACUCAGUGAAAUUGAACUCGCUGUGAAGAUGCAGUGUACCCGCGGCAAGACGGAAAGACCCCGUGAACCUUUACUAUAGCUUGACACUGAACAUUGAGCCUUGAUGUGUAGGAUAGGUGGGAGGCUUUGAAGUGUGGACGCCAGUCUGCAUGGAGCCGACCUUGAAAUACCACCCUUUAAUGUUUGAUGUUCUAACGUGGACCCGUAAUCCGGGUUGCGGACAGUGUCUGGUGGGUAGUUUGACUGGGGCGGUCUCCUCCUAAAGAGUAACGGAGGAGCACGAAGGUUGGCUAAUCCUGGUCGGACAUCAGGAGGUUAGUGCAAUGGCAUAAGCCAGCUUGACUGCGAGCGUGACGGCGCGAGCAGGUGCGAAAGCAGGUCAUAGUGAUCCGGUGGUUCUGAAUGGAAGGGCCAUCGCUCAACGGAUAAAAGGUACUCCGGGGAUAACAGGCUGAUACCGCCCAAGAGUUCAUAUCGACGGCGGUGUUUGGCACCUCGAUGUCGGCUCAUCACAUCCUGGGGCUGAAGUAGGUCCCAAGGGUAUGGCUGUUCGCCAUUUAAAGUGGUACGCGAGCUGGGUUUAGAACGUCGUGAGACAGUUCGGUCCCUAUCUGCCGUGGGCGCUGGAGAACUGAGGGGGGCUGCUCCUAGUACGAGAGGACCGGAGUGGACGCAUCACUGGUGUUCGGGUUGUCAUGCCAAUGGCACUGCCCGGUAGCUAAAUGCGGAAGAGAUAAGUGCUGAAAGCAUCUAAGCACGAAACUUGCCCCGAGAUGAGUUCUCCCUGAGACUUAGAGUCUCCUGAAGGAACGUUGAAGACGACGACGUUGAUAGGCCGGGUGUGUAAGCGCAGCGAUGCGUUGAGCUAACCGGUACUAAUGAACCGUGAGGCUUAACCUU
rnacentral:rRNA from 1 species